GCACAAGAAGAAAAAAUAUGAAGUUCAUGAAGAAGAACAAGAACUUCAUGAAGAGUUCAAUGCUAGUGGCGAUGAUGGGAUUAAAAUCAUCAAUGCAGACACUUUCCCUGUGUAUCUGCAGCCUAAUGCUAAUGGUGACAACAUUAUUAGGUCAGUCCUGGGAAAACCUUUCGUCAAAUUCAGGGAUAUCCUCAAGAGAAAUCAAUUGGAAGAUUUUUUCAGAAAUAGCUGUUUCAGUCAUUUUCUUUAUUUACCCAUUGAUACAAUUCCACGUUUUCAAAUGACCAUUGUGUAUGAACUUCUGAAAAGAAGAUUCAUUUUUGAAAAUACCAAUAAAAAGGAUGAGAUGAAAAUACCAAUAAGACGGAUGAAAUUGUAAUUAAUUAUUGUGGCAUGCCAAUUUUCUUUGGCAUAAGAGAGUUUGCCAUAGUUACAGGGCUAAAAUGUCAUCCUCCUCUUGAGCCCAUCCCUGAAUACAUUGUUAAAAAAGAACCACGAAGAAGACUGAAAGGAGUAAAAGAAGUAGCAGAAGUAGGACAACAGUCAUUGCCAACUGAGGAGUAGGACUUGAUGUCCCUUGUUGGCAAAAGCUUUAAAAAUUCUGACUUAGUAAAUUUGUUGGAACGAGAGGAUACACCAAGGGAGCACAAGGAGUCCUUGUGCUUACUUUUGUUUACACAUAAUAUACUUUUGUCGAGGGAUCCGAACAACAACAUAUUGUUUAUAUAUGUCUAUUUCUGUCAGGAUAUGAGGCUUUUAACAACUACCCUUGGGGUCAUGGGAGCUUUCAUGUAACUCUCGACUGCUUGUUGAAGCCUUUAGGAUAAAAGACCAGUAACUUGUUUGGGUUUCCAUGGGCUUUCAUGGUAAAACUGAAUGUUCUUAAUAGUUUUAUAUUAUAUUUAGUGAUAAUUCAACAUUUGAUUAUUGACAUGUUUUCCUUUUUUACUGGCCUGAGCAUUUGAAGCCAUUUCUUAUUUGACCUAUCAAGUAAUUGCAGAAGAACAAAGAUCAUCUCCAAGAUGUUGAGAUGGUUGAUAGCAAGAACAAAAACUACCAAAGAUGGGCAUAUUCCAAAUCUUUUUAACCCUCCUGCUGCAUCCUAUUAAUGCAGUUGUGCAUCCAUGGAUUACCCCAACAGAAGAGGAAUUGUAAAUGCCAUAUCUAAUUACUCUAGUGUUGGUUGCAACCAUUUCUGAUCCUGUUGUGGAUAGAAUUAAAAUGGUGUUGGCUAGAGCAACAACCAUCAAAAGAGGCAUAGUUGUUAAUGAAGUCGUUAAUAAAUUAAUUGUUUUUGAUGGUGUUGGUGCUGGAAAUGGUGUUGUUGCUGGUGCUGGUGUAGGACAACAUGAAGGGGCUACCUCUUGUAGAAGAUGUUGUGGCUUCCUCUGUGAGAAGUGCAAGAAACAUGAUGAUAAAGAUUCUAUCAUGAAUCUUCAAACCUUGAGUCAAACUGUCAAUGAAUUCAAAAACAAGAGGGGGAUGAAGGACAUUCUAUCAAAGAAUGUUCGGCAUCCAUAUACUCCACAUGCCAAGAGGAUGAAAGAAUCAUUUGCCAAGACAAUACAAAAUUUGAAGAAGAAGAUGUUUGGAGAAAUUCCAAGGGCCAUAAUGGAGGAAGUGAAGGAGUACAAAAAGUUAAAUAUUUACAAGCCUGUGACUGUAGCGGAAAAAAAUCAACCUGUUGAGUGUGACGAGUUCAAAGGAUAUUUGAAUAGAAUACGGCAUGCAUGUUAUUACCGGACAAGAUUUCAGGAAUAUGACAAGCACAAAAGUUAGGUGGGAAGACUGGCAGAGUCAUGUGACAUACCCGGACUACUAUGAUCCCAGAGAUAGAAUCCUGGUCUCAACUUCUAUACUAACUUCAAAAAAGAUAUAAAGAAAUGAGCGAUGAGGCAAAAACGGUUGGUGGUAGAAGCAUUAAACAGAUAGUAGAUAAAUUUGCAUGAGAUUAAGAUAUGAUUGACUAUGUCAGGGAUAUUAGGCCAUAUCUUCGAGGCAUGGAUUGGAUUGAUGCAAAACAGAUUUUGACAGUCAUGAACACGGAUAAUAUAUAUUGUGUGACUUUUGAGAUUAUGUUGCACGAGGUUCCCAUGAAUGUUUAUGACUGCAACCUGGUGGUUCUGGAACAUGCCAAGUUAUUGACACACAUACAAACUGUCUUCGAGUUGAUGCCUAAAUUGUUGAAGCAAAGUGGAAUAAUGAAACAUUUGCCAGAAAAGUUGCUCACUGAACCAUGGGAAUUUAAAGGUCGAAUGGAACCCAUGGUAAAAAAUGCAACUGACUCGGCAUGCGGGUCAUAUUCCCUUGCAUUCAUUGAGCAGUUUGUUAGCGGGACAGAAAUUCUACCUCCUAAAACCCUGUUAGGUGACAAUCUAAUUGAACGGAUGCAAUAUGUUUGGGCUUAUGGGAUAAUAUCUCGGAGCUUAAAACCUUGAGAAUGUGUUUGUAAUUAAAGAAAUGUUUUAUUUUAUCAAUUAUGUUGUUUUUUUAUCUUA